rnacentral:lncRNA from 1 species
CCCUAUGUGUGUUCAAGUACCUCUAGAGGUACACGUACCCCUGGUUGGGAACCACUGGUAUAUGUGAUGUUUUUAUAAUACAUUCUCUCUUUAACAGAGUGGAGUUGCUGUUGAGAAAACCAGAGAAUUCUUCAUCCGAUGUCCCAUUGAUCACCCUGUGGAAGAUGAUAAUGCUUUAAUCAAGGAGUUAAAGGUAUCAGUUUAUGGGAUGGAAAUGUAAGAUCUGCACUUUUCAGGCGUCAUCCAUAAACUAUCUACCAGACUAGCCUUCAGGUAAAAGCAGUGAUCACCAGGAACAACAGCAGCUCCAAAUCCUGUCUGAGGUUAAGAAGAAGCUCAGCAUUUGUGUUUAGAAGACAUGACAUCAUCAGUCUUCAGAUGAGCAUCCAGGAGAUGGUGGAGAGGUGGUCUUCCUUGUUUGAUGUGUCUGAGGUCAAUGCAGAGUUCCAGCAGAUCACCACAGUAAAUGUUGAGGCCAAAUUCAUUUCAACUGCUGUCCAUCUUCCAAGCUAAGAAAAGUGCUGCUGGAGC